rnacentral:siRNA from 1 species
AUUUUUGGCUUCUAACAAUUGGUC